rnacentral:rRNA from 1 species
AUUGAACGCUGGCGGCAGGCUUAACACAUGCAAGUCGAGGGGUAACUAGAGUGAUAGCAAUAUUACUUUGGCUAGACCGGCGCACGGGUGCGUAACACGUAUGCAACCUACCUUAUACUGGGGAAUAACUUCGAGAAAUCGGCGCUAAUACCCCAUAACAUUGCGAAGAGGCAUCUCUUUGCAAUUAAAGCUCCGGCGGUAUAAGAUGGGCAUGCGUCCAAUUAGCUAGUUGGUGAGGUAACGGCUCACCAAGGCUACGAUUGGUAGGGGUUCUGAGAGGAUGAUCCCCCACACUGGAACUGAGACACGGACCAGACUCCUACGGGAGGCAGCAGUGAGGAAUAUUGCGCAAUGGACGAAAGUCUGACGCAGCCAUGCCGCGUGCAGGAUGACGGCCCUAUGGGUUGUAAACUGCUUUUGUACGGGAAUAAACCCUUCUACGUGUAGGAGGCUGAAGGUACCGUAAGAAUAAGCACCGGCUAACUCCGUGCCAGCCGCCGCCGUAACAC